rnacentral:lncRNA from 1 species
AUGCGCAGCGAACCGGCCGCCCCCACCCUCUCCGCACAGGCAUUCCCUGGCUGGCCACUGUUAUCCGCCCAGAGAGCCAGGGCUCCAGAGCCACCGGCAGGGGCGAUGAAGAAGAUUUUCACCUUGGCGGGUAGGAGGAGCCGGCGGCUCUUGGGCUUCUCUGGUGCUACCGCUGAGGAUUCCGGGAAUCAAUCGCGGCUGGUCUAUUGUCCGCGCCGCAGGGUCCACGAGAAGAUUUGGCUGGGAGAAACUGGCAGGGACCAGAAGAGACUUGCCAUCAAACUUCAUCUUGGUGAUCCAUUGUCUAAAUCAGAAGAAAAAGACCACGAUUUUGAUGUCAAGGAGAAGCUGAAGAGAGGUUUGCAGUGGAAAUUCUACGGAAAGAAGAGAGAUACCAUGGAGCAGUGUGGACAGUACAAACACCCAGGAGUGAGUGGGGACAUCACCAGGAACUCCCGCAGCCAGGGACUAUAG